UGGGGAAUCUUGCGCAAUGGGCGAAAGCCUGACGCAGCAACGCCGCGUGCGGGAUGAAGGCCUUCGGGUUGUAAACCGCUUUCAGUAGGAACGAAAAUGACGGUACCUACAGAAGAAGGUCCGGCCAACUACGUGCCAGCAGCCGCGGUAACACGUAGGGACCAAGCGUUGUCCGGAUUUAUUGGGCGUAAAGAGCUCGUAGGCGGUUCAGCAAGUCGGGUGUGAAAACUCUGGGCUCAACCCAGAGACGCCACCCGAUACUGUUGUGACUAGAGUCCGGUAGGGGAGUGGGGAAUUCCUGGUGUAGCGGUGAAAUGCGCAGAUAUCAGGAGGAACACCGGUGGCGAAGGCGCCACUCUGGGCCGGCACUGACGCUGAGGAGCGAAAGCGUGGGUAGCAAACAGG
rnacentral:rRNA from 1 species